GUGGGGAAUAUUGGACAAUGGGCGCAAGCCUGAUCCAGCCAUACCGCGUGGGUGAAGAAGGCCUUCGGGUUGUAAAGCCCUUUUGUUGGGAAAGAAAUCCUGUCGAUUAAUACUCGGUGGGGAUGACGGUACCCAAAGAAUAAGCACCGGCUAACUUCGUGCCAGCAGCCGCGGUAAUACGAAGGGUGCAAGCGUUACUCGGAAUUACUGGGCGUAAAGCGUGCGUAGGUGGUGGUUUAAGUCUGCUAUGAAAGCCCUGGGCUCAACCUGGGAAUUGCAGUGGAUACUGGAUCACUAGAGUGUGGUAGAGGGAUGCGGAAUUUCCGGUGUAGCAGUGAAAUGCGUAGAGAUCAGAAGGAACAUCCGUGGCGAAGGCGGCAUCCUGGGCCAACACUGACACUGAGGCACGAAAGCGUGGGGAGCAAACAGGAUUAGAUACCCUAGUAGUCC
rnacentral:rRNA from 1 species